rnacentral:misc_RNA from 1 species
UCCGGUUUGGCACCGGCAGUCUCCAAUGAGUCCCCGGCAUUACCCGCUGGCAACAUUGGACAGGGGUUGCGCUCGUUGCGCCACUUAAGGCAACACCUCACGGCACGAGCUGACGACAGCCAUGCAGCACCUGUGCUGGUACCCGACUCUACGGGUCGCCGACCCUUUCGGGUGACUACUGCCAACAUGUCAAACCCAGGUAAGGUUCUUCGCUUUGCAUCGAAUUAAGCAACGCGCUCCGCCGCUUGUGCGGGCCCCCGUCAAUUCCUUUGAGUUUCAGUCUUGCGACCGUACUCCCCAGGCGGAGUGCUUAAUGUGUUGACUUCGGCACAGCAGGGGUCGAUACCCGCUACACCAAGCACUCAUCGUUUACGGCGUGGACUAC